AUGGAUGGUGCAUUAUCAAGAAACAGGCGAGUGGGAGUUGCAGCCGCAAUCUGCCGUGAUUCAAAUGGCAACUAUCUUGGCGCGUCAGCGGUGGUCUAUGGGGGCGUAUGCGCCCCGAUGAUCCUGGAGACAUACGCGUGUCGGGAGGCUCUAGCGCUGGCGGAAGACCUACACGAGCAGAAUAUCAAGGUGGCAUCGGAUUGCCAAGGUGUGGUGCAGGACAUCAAUGAAGGGACAGCUGGCCCCAAUGCGGCUAUUAUACAUGAAAUAACGAACCGCAAAGAUAGUUUUAUGUCUUGCUCUUUUGUUUUUGAACGUAGGAAUUUCAAUUUCGAGGCUCAUAAUCUCGCUAAAUUUGCUUGUAACCUAGAUAUAGGUAGACAUGUUUGGUUGGGUACUCCUCAUGACCCAAGCUGUGUACCUAUGAACAUUGUCAUGAAUCAAUAA
rnacentral:rRNA from 1 species